rnacentral:lncRNA from 1 species
UUUCUAAUGUUAUUUGGAGGAUUUGUAACAUGGGAUUAGUAUAGGAGAUUAUCUUCAUAUCAAACUGAGCGAUGCCCUCAAAGGAGGAAAAAAGCUUGUACAGAUUAACUAUUAUGUGUAUACAUGCAUGUAUUGUAGUUUCUUAAUCCGGCUAUAUAUUCAUCUUUUGAAUCAUUAUUUAAGAACCGUCUCAAUAUAUUCAUUGCUGUUAUUCUGUUAACAUUAGGAAUUAUCUCUUGAAAUUUUGUUUGUUGCAUAGGCUCAUGCGCUUGUCCUAGGUCUGGCCUUCUUUUGGGGUUGGGCAUGUAAUAGAGUUGAAUAAGUAUACGAUGCACUGAAUUAUCUAAACUGGUGUUUGUGUGCUCAACUGCGGAGAUUGUCUUGUCGGCUUGCCAUUCUUGUUGAUCGCAUAGCAGUGUAGAAUUUUUGUGGUGGAGGCUAGGUUAUGCGGCUAUGCCGCUAUGAUCGAGAAUUCGAGAUAGUGUUGGUUUUGGGAUCUCUCCUGAUGAGUUUCCUCUAUUCCUAGCUUGAAAAGCUUUUCAAUUACAUCAUGGCUCCCUCAUGUUUUAUGUCUUGUUUAUAUUGUCCUAACGUUGAAUGGAAGAAGACGUUAAGAUAAACAACUCAAAUAUUACAACUGUGUGAGUCGAACUCAUAUCCUCUCACUUACUAAAGAGGAGACUAUGUCGCUAGACCAAAUAGUAUUGGACGUUUUAUUGUUGAAUUAAGAUGAACAUCUAGAAACAUUAGUGAUAAUACUUAAGUGAUUUUCAGUUUAUCACUCACUUUAAAUCGAUCUAUAUACUUUGAUUCCAAAUAUCUACCUUAUCCAUUCAUCCUUCUUAGGUUGUAAGUUUGUAACCCUCUCAUCACAUUGUUAUGAUUGAUACGAACUCACAUGGUAUAUAUAUAUAUAUAUGCAUCUAACUAUUACAUUUAAGAGACAAGUGCACAACAUCCAUAUACUGAUAGAUUUCAAAUAGAUGUUCUAACACAUUUUAUGAAAAAAUAGGUCAAAACGUUAACAUACAAUACUGUAUUUGAUCCAGAGCAUGCAUCAAUGCUCUUUUGAUUACUAGUCAACAAUUAACCGAUUGUAUGUUAUUAGAGUUUUCAGUUCUGAUCAAGAUAUGACAAAACGUACAGUCUUGUAUGAGAUUAAACCCGCUUAGUUUUGUUUGUACAGUGGAUUACACGGGUUAAUCUCAUCUAUUUAUAUGUAGAACUAAUUUCAGUUUACUCCAUCAACUUUAGGUCAAUUAUCAUGUUAGUCCUUCUUCUUUCAAUUUCAUCAAAAACACCCCUCAACUUCCAAUUUUCAUCAGCCACGCAUGUCCAAACCUCCAAUCUCUAUCUAAUUCCUUUGCCAAGUGAUGACUUGAUAUCAAGAAGAAAGAAAAAAGGAAAAAUAGACAAAUUACAUUCAAUCCCACCAAAAUCAUUAAGGUUAGGGGGUUGUGAUGAGAACGAAGAUGUGUAUCGAUAUGGGGAAAAAAUGGUCCGAAAGGUAACUUUCAGAAUUUGACUUUCUUCUUGAUAUCAAGUCAUCACUUGACAGAGGAAUUGGAUGGAGAUUGGAGGUUUGGACAUGCGCAGCUGAUGAAAAUUGGAAGUUAAUGGGUGUUUUUGAUGAAAUUGAAAAAAGAAUGACUAAUAUGAUGAUUGACCUAAAGUUGAUGGGGGUAAACUGAAAUUAGUCUUUAUAUGUAUGAUCAUAGUUGGAUUAGCAUAAUGUGAGAGGGAUAGAGAUAAGGAGACACAUGGUUUAUAGUGGUUCAUCUCCCUCUUUUGGGGUAUACUACAUCCACGUAACAUGUAUUAGAGGUUGGGAGCCUAAGUAGCCCCCAUAGUAUUACAAGUGAUAAUCAUUGUGUGUUGAGUAAGUGGGAAGGAGUCUCCUUUUAUAGGAGAAGAAGACUCCUUCAUUUACAUGUUAUUCAAUGUGGGACUAAGGGUCUUAUUCUAGUCUCUAAAGUGUUGUAUGGAGGUAUGUUGGUGAGGCCGGGAAAAUGAUUUUUGGGUAAGCUUUUGGCGACUUCCGAGUACCGUUGCGUAGCUUGUAUGUCAGAUUUCAAGAUACAUGUCGCGGUCGGGUCUCGUUAUGGCUCGUGGACCCACAACGAGAGUACUACUUAUGCUUAGNGGCAUGGUAUACUAAUCAUGUCAAUGGUGGUACCAACAAGUCUCAUAUGGGAAUCUNUUUGUAAAGACGUGAUGUGCUCUUGCAUAUAUAUAUA